rnacentral:rRNA from 1 species
CAAUAGCGUAUAUUAAAGUUGUUGCGGUAAAAAAGCUCGUAGUUGGAUUUCUACCGAAGAUAGCCGGUCGGGUCUUCGACCUUGUAUCUGGUUUUGUCUUUGGUAUCCUCAUAGGGAACGUUUCUGCGCUUUAUUGCGUGGUGCGGUAUCUAUGACUUUUACUUUGCGGAAAUUAGAGUGUUCACGGCAGGCAAACGCCUUGAAUAUAUUAGCAUGGAAUAAUAACAUAGGAUCUUCGUCCUAUUUUGUUGGUUUCUAGGGCUAAGAUAAUGAUUAAUAGGGAUAAUUGGGGGCAUCUGUAUCAACGCGUCAGAGGUGGAAUUCUUGGAUUGCGUUGCGACAAACUACUGCGAAAGCAUUUGCCAAGGAUGUUUUCAUUGA